AGAUUCGCGUUUAAAACAAAAAAGGAUAUCUAAAUAUGUAAAAAAUUUGAAAACGGAGAGGUUUCGCAUCUCUGGUGCGGCGGCGCCGCCCUGUUGGGCCGGCAAACCACCACGCCGGAGCGGCGAUGCUCGCCGGAGAAGAUGAAGUUCAUCUUCUGUUUUUCCAGAAACCGGCGAGGGAGGAGAAGAGGGAAGUGAGAGCUUCUCUCACUAGAUUAGUGUAGAGAGAGAAGGAAGAAAAGAAAAUGAAUUAAACCGGUCCCCAAUGCCUUUUAUAAACAACUGAACCGGACCGGUUCAAUUCCGGUUCAUUUCUCCUUCAUUGUGGCCGUUAGAUCUAGGGUUUUUCAUCC
rnacentral:lncRNA from 1 species